CGGCCACAUCACGUGUUGAAACACCGGUUCUCGUACGAUCAUCAAAGUUAAGCAACUUCGAGCCUGGUCAGCACCUAGAUGAGUUACUGCUUGGGAAAUACAAGGUGCUGUAAG